GAUGAACGCUGGCGGCGUGCCUAAUACAUGCAAGUCGAGCGAACGGACGAGAAGCUUGCUUCUCUGAUGUUAGCGGCGGACGGGUGAGUAACACGUGGAUAACCUACCUAUAAGACUGGGAUAACUUCGGGAAACCGGAGCUAAUACCGGAUAAUAUUUUGAACCGCAUGGUUCAAAAGUGAAAGACGGUCUUGCUGUCACUUAUAGAUGGAUCCGCGCUGCAUUAGCUAGUUGGUAAGGUAACGGCUUACCAAGGCAACGAUGCAUAGCCGACCUGAGAGGGUGAUCGGCCACACUGGAACUGAGACACGGUCCAGACUCCUACGGGAGGCAGCAGUAGGGAAUCUUCCGCAAUGGGCGAAAGCCUGACGGAGCAACGCCGCGUGAGUGAUGAAGGUUUUCGGAUCGUAAAACUCUGUUAUUAGGGAAGAACAUAUGUGUAAGUAACUGUGCACAUCUUGACGGUACCUAAUCAGAAAGCUACGGCUAACUACGUG
rnacentral:rRNA from 1 species